ACGUCACCGGAAGCCAAGCCCUGCGAGAAACCAGGCUCGGCGAGUGUGCACUGGCCGCUGGAGUCAGGCCUGAGACGUGCUGCCCUCGCUGGCUCCUGGGGAGCGAGUGGUGCAUUCCCAAUCUCCAGUGCCGGCUCUGAGCACCGAGUUUUGAGUACCUCUCCCGCGUAAGGCGAAGAGGCGUCGCACCUCUAUCUCGGAGCACUUCGUAUGUGAGAGAGACCUAAGUGGUGGCCUCGUGAGCACCCUGGCCGGGCGACGGACGAGCCAGGCGAUGAGUGAGAAGCUGGACACGGAAGUAAAGCAAAGGGAGAGACAUGCAGCAGCUGUGGAUGGGGUUGGGGAGCACAUGGAGGACUGCGGCCCGGAUGCCAGUGCAGUAUACAGCCCCGCAGCCCCAGAAUGUCAAGAAGGGGGGCCUGGACCAGCUGCCGGGCCUGGAACUCAGCCUGGGCUCUACAGCUACAUAAGGGAUGACCUGUUCACCUCAGAGAUCUUUAAACUGGAGCUGCAAAAUGUGCCUCGCCAUGCCAGUUUCAGUGACGUCCGGCGCUUUUUGGGCCGUUUUGGCCUACAAUCCCACAAAAUCAAACUCUUUGGACAACCACCGUGUGCCUUUGUAACAUUUCGCAGCGCUGCUGAACGAGACAAGGCCUUGCGAGUGCUGCACGGUGCUCUCUGGAAAGGCCGCCCACUCAGCGUGCGCCUGGCCCGACCCAAGGCUGACCCCAUGGCUAGAAAGAGGCGGCAGGAAGGUGGUAGUGAGCCAACAGCUACGCAGAUUGCCGACGUGGUGACCCCUCUUUGGACAGUACCCUACUCUGAGCAGCUGGAGCAGAAACGGCUGGAAUGUGAACGGGUGCUGCAAAAACUGGCCAAGGAAAUUGGGAGCACCAACCGCGCCCUGCUACCCUGGCUGCUCACACAGAGACAACAGCAUAAUAAGGCUUGUUGCCCACUGGAGGGGGUCAGGCCAUCACCCCAGCAGACUGAAUACCGCAAUAAGUGCGAGUUUCUGGUCGGAGCUGGGGUGGAUGGAGAAGACAACACUGUUGGCUGCAGGCUCGGCAAGUACAAGGGUGGCACCUGUGCUGUGGCAGCCCCCUUUGACACUGUGCACAUUCCAGAGGCCACGAAGCAGGUGGUGAAGGCCUUCCAGGAAUUCAUUCGGUCCACCCCAUACUCGGCAUAUGACCCUGAGACAUAUACAGGCCACUGGAAGCAGCUGACUGUUCGUACCAGCCGCAGAGGCCAGGCCAUGGCCAUUGCCUACUUCCACCCCCAGAAACUGAGCUCGGAGGACUUGGCAGGGCUGAAGGCCUCCCUGGUGUACCACUUCAUGGAAGGGCCAGGCAAGGCCAGUGGAGUGACCUGCCUCUACUUUGUGGAAGAGGGACAGAGGAAGACUCCCAGCCAGGAAGGCCUGCCCCUGGAGCAUAUGGCUGGUGACCAGUGCAUCCAGGAGGACCUGCUGGGGCUGACCUUCCGUAUCUCCCCUCACGCAUUCUUCCAGGUAAACACACCUGCAGCUGAAGUGCUCUACACAGUCAUCCAGGAAUGGGCUCAGCUGGAUGGGGGCAGUACCGUGCUGGAUGUAUGCUGUGGCACUGGCACCAUAGGCCUGGCCCUGGCCCGGAAGGUGAAAAGAGUAGUCGGGAUUGAGCUGUGCCAGGAGGCCGUGGAGGAUGCCCGUGUGAACGCCCUUACCAAUGAGUUGAGCAACAUUGAAUUCCACUGCGGCAGGGCUGAGGAUCUUGUGCCAGGCUUGGUGAGCAGACUGUCCUCCCAGCAACUUGUAGCUGUCCUAGACCCACCACGGGCUGGCCUACAUUCCAAGGUGAUUCUGGCCAUUCGUAGAGCUGAGAACAUCAAGCGACUCCUGUAUGUUUCCUGCAAUCCCCGGGCAGCCAUGGGCAACUUUGUGGAGAACAAGGUCUCACUAUGUCGUUCAAGCUAGUACUGAACUCACACUUCACAUGAUUGAUUCUCCUGCCCAGUUUCCUUCCUAAGAAGCUGGAACUGCGGGCUUUCUGUUGGCUUUUCCUAAGCAGCUAUGUCAGAUGUAAAAGCAGAGUGAGAUGGUGCCUACAGACCAGAAGACAGGUGUGCAGAUGGACAGAUAGCCAUCAGGAGGCACCUCAGCCUGCUCCUCGGGAAGCCAGCCCUUCAUCCUACCAGACUGGAUGGUUAGAGGAACCACUUCAAACUUGAUGGAUGUGUCACCCAUUCCAUGGUUUCUUUUAGGAGAAAACAAAGAUGACAAGAAGGUAUCAGUGGAUGAUGCUUGGACAUGGUGACUUCUGGGGAGGGGUACCAAAUGACAAAGUCCAUUUAUAACUUUCCGAAGAAAACCCGAACCCCUCCCUAGAUGUUCGGCUGACUAAGGGAGAUUCUCCACACACUCUAUACACAUUUCAGUUACCCAGGGCUCGCCUAUCAGCCAGAGCCAAGGGGCUCCUGUAUAUCCAGGCAAACAGAUAAUGACUCUACCUUGGGACAAAAGCCAAGUGAAACUCUGAGAUGCUCCAGAGGAGCUCCCAUGACCUGAUUCUUGAGGAAGGUGCUCCCUA